GCCUGGGUGGCUUAGUCGGUUAAGCGUCUGACUUCAACUCAGGUCAUGAUCUCGCGGUUCGUGAGUUCGAGCCCCGCUUCAGGCU
rnacentral:tRNA from 1 species